rnacentral:lncRNA from 1 species
GGUGAAUUAUCAGAGGAAGAAAAGAGGGCUAUUUCAGACCUUGCAGUGUCCUGGGAUUUGCCUGGUGUGACAUCAGAGAACAGAAGAUGGCUGCUUGACAAACUGCUCAUUCAUGCAGUCCUUGAAAGAACCUCCAAGCAAGUAAAGCAGCUACGGCGGGGUUUGAAGGAAACAUUGAUCUGGCCUUUGCUUUCUGAGAGGAAAGACACUAUUCCUCUUCUCUUUCCCAGGACUUGUGAUACAGUGUACACCCCACUAAUGAUUUUAGAGAGGAUAAUUUGGCCAACACAUGAUGAAGACAGCGAGGCCUCUCUUGAAGACACAUGUAGGCUCACCGGAUUCCUUCGCACCUUCAUCGGAAAUUCUUCUUAUAAUAUCUUGCGGUUUCUAAUAAAAUUCUGGACUAGAUGGGAUGUACUGCCCAGGAGCCUAGACGUUGAGGUGGUGGAUGGAAACCUACCCAAGUCUUCCACAUGCUAUCAAACUCUCAAGCUUCCUAGUCAUUACAAGGACUAUGCUGCCUUUGAGAGAUAUAUUUUAGCUGCUAUCUGGAGCUUAGAUUAUGGAUUUGGAAUGGUCUAAGUUUGUGUUACAAAUAAUAUCAGAUGCCAUAUUUCUACUGGAGGUAGUGUUUAAUUUUUCUAAAUUUUUCAUGUCUAAAUCGGAUAUUCAGUCAGAAGAUCUCAAACCUGUUUGGUAUGUUGCAGUGUUCAGAGCUUUGUAUUCGAUGCCAAAAUAACAUUUGAUAAGAAAUUUAAGAAUUUAUUUGCUUGGAUGUACUAAAAAGAUACUGUUCUAGACAUUUUAGCUUUAUUAAAUGGUUUGGAAGUAGUUUGAGCAACUAAGAAUAUUCACUGGAUGCAAGAGUUAUUAUUAACUGGCACUAAAUGUCAAAAUGCCCCACUUUUUUCUUCCUGGAAAGCCAGCCUGUGAAUUUUGUAAGCAAUUUUGACAUGUAUUCAGAACCUUGUUGUCAAAGUUACACCAAACUAAGCUUUGGUCAAAAGGUUAUUUGAAACAUUUAUUGACUUUGGUACAAGACUGUUCAAAGCCAUCAUUACACAAAUUCAAUAA